rnacentral:rRNA from 1 species
CAGGCCUAACACAUGCAAGUCAUACGGGGAUUUUUAAUUCAAGUGGCGGACGGGUGAGUAACACGUAAGAAUUUGCCUUUAGGAGGGGGACAACAACUGGAAACGGUUGCUAAUACCCCAUAUGCUUUCGAGUGAAAUGGAUUUUUCCGCCUAAAGAGAAGCUUGCGGCUGAUUAGCUUGUUGGUGAGGUAAUGGCUCACCAAGGCGACGAUCAGUAUCUGGUUUGAGAGGAUGAUCAGACACACUGGAACUGAGACACGGUCCAGACUCCUACGGGAGGCAGCAGUGGGGAAUUUUCCGCAAUGGGCGAAAGCCUGACGGAGCAAUCUCGCGUGAGGGAUGACGGCCUAUGGGUUGUAAACCUCUUUUUUCAGGGAGGACAAAAUGACGUGUACCUGAAGAAUAAGCAUCGGCUAACUCCGUGCCAGCAGCCGCGGUAAGACGGAGGAUGCAAGUGUUAUCCGGAAUCACUGGGCGUAAAGCGUCUGUAGGUGGUUUGAUAAGUCAACUGUUAAAUCUUGAAGCUCAACUUCAAAAUCGCAGUCGAAACUAUUAGACUAGAGUAUAGUAGGGGUAAAGGGAAUUUCCAGUGGAGCGGUGAAAUGCGUAGAUAUUGGAAAGAACACCGAUGGCGAAGGCACUUUACUGGACUAUUACUGACACUCAGAGACGAAAGCUAGGGUAGCAAAUGGGAUUAGAUACCCCAGUAGUCCUAGCCGUAAACAAUGGAUACUAGAUGUUGAACAGAUCGACCUGUGCAGUAUUAAAGCUAACGCGUUUAGUAUCCCGCCUGGGAAGUAUGCUCGCAAGAGUGAAACUCAAAGGAAUUGACGG